AAAAAUCAUGGAUAACAACAAUCCAAGAGUUAAUCAGCCAACAAAAUACAAAGGCCAUAAGAUAGAUCCUAGAUAAAAACAAAAAAAAGAUUAACUAUUUUAGAUCUAAUAGAUGUCAUGGCUAGAGGGAUCAAAAUCUGAAGAGUCAAAGAUAUGAUGAGGAGAUGUAGGAUCAAAUUCAUGGAUACGAACUUGACCACAUCUGCCUCGACCAUGGGUAGAAGUACCGGCAC
rnacentral:lncRNA from 1 species